rnacentral:rRNA from 1 species
CAAUAGCGUAUAUUAAAGUUGUUGCAGUUAAAAGCUCGUAGUUGGAUUUGUGGCUGUCGCGUGCGACCCGACACCUAGUGUUGGUGUUUGCUUGCGUCGCCAUCCUUGGGUGGAACCUGUGUGGCAUUAGGUUGUCGUGCAGGGGAUGCCCAUCGUUUACUGUGAAAAAUUAGAGUGUUCAAAGCAGGCUUAUGCCGUUGAAUAUGUUAGCAUGGAAUAAUAAGAUAGGACCUUGGUACUAUUUUGUUGGUUUGCGCACCAAGGUAAUGAUUAAUAGGGACAGUUGGGGGUAUUCGUAUUCCAUUGUCAGAGGUGAAAUUCUUGGAUUUUUGGAAGACGAACUACUGCGAAAGCAUUUACCAAGGAUGUUUUCAUUAAUCAAGAACGAAAGUUAGGGGAUCGAAGAUGAUUAGAUACCAU